rnacentral:rRNA from 1 species
UACGUAGGAGGCGAGCGUUGUCCGGAGUUACUGGGCGUAAAGGGUGCGCAGGCGGCGGUUCGCGUGGAUAGAUGAAAUCUCCUGGCUUACCUGGGAGGAUGGUAUCCAGACGGGAUCGCUUGAGGGUCGGAGAGGGGCGUUGGAAUUCCUGGUGUAGCGGUGAAAUGCGUAGAUAUCAGGAGGAACACCGGUGGUGUAAACGGCUUUCUGGACCAUAACUGACACUGAGGCACGAAAGCGUGGGUAGCAAACAGG